rnacentral:misc_RNA from 1 species
AAGUCGUAACAAGGUUUCCGUAGGUGAACCUGCGGAAGGAUCAUUAAUGAUUGGUGGCUGUUGCUGACUAGUGUUUCUAGUAUGUGCACGCCACACCUUCAAUCCCACUUACACCUGUGCACCUUCUGUAAUAGAUCUAUGUGGAUACGGAGAUAUGAAAGUUUGCGCUCUCGUACUCUGUUGAAGCAGUCUACUACGUUUUUUUACACACACAAUAGUCAUUGAAUGUAUUUUUUAUUCUUAUGAUAAAAACAACUUUCAACAACGGAUCUCUUGGCUCUC